UUGAUACUUCCUUCGUUCAGAAAUACUUGUCGGAGAAAUGAAUAUAUCUAAAUAUAUUUUAAUUCUAGAUACAUCUAUUUUCAUCCAUUUAUGUAACAAGUAAUUUCGGACGAAGGUAGUAUAAC
rfam:Triticum aestivum genome assembly, contig: Triticum_aestivum_CS42_TGACv1_scaffold_487837_6AS